UACGUAGGGGGCAAGCGUUGUCCGGAUUUAUUGGGCGUAAAGAGCGUGUAGGCGGCCAUACAGGUCAGCUGUGAAAACUCGAGGCUCAACCUCGAGACGUCGGUUGAAACCGUAUGGCUAGAGUCCGGAAGAGGAGAGUGGAAUUCCCGGUGUAGCGGUGAAAUGCGCAGAUAUCAGGAGGAACACCGGUGGCGAAGGCGGAUCUCUGGGCCUUACCUGACGCUCAGGUGCGAAAGCUAGGGGAGCGAACAGG
rnacentral:rRNA from 1 species